rnacentral:rRNA from 1 species
AUGCAGACUGGAGCCCUAGACAUUCUUGCUGGCGUACUUGUCAGGUUCAUCAUCCUUGAAGAGGUCGUCCAUGACAUCGUCAUUCUUGGUGCUUUCAAAGGUGGAACCAGGGGUGCCGAGGGAGAACUCAUCACCACCGGUGGAACCUGCAGGAGCACCAUGGUUUCCAGCUGGGUUUCCACCGAAGCCACUGGCACCACCAAAGUUGCCGGCAGCAAAGUUGUCGCCGCCACCACCACUGUUGCUACCAUAACCACCUCCUCCAUAGCCACCACCGCCAUAUCCUCCUCCUCCAAAGCCGCCACCACCACCUCCAUAACCAGCACCAUUACGGAAGCCAGCGGUCCUCUCAGUGGCAGCACUAACCCGUAG